rnacentral:rRNA from 1 species
UGGAGAAUUUUGCACAAUUGGGGAAACCCUGAUGCAGCGACGCCGCGUGCUUUAGAAGGCCUUCGGGUUGUAAAAAUCUUUUGUAUGGGAAAAAAAUGACAGUACCAUACGAAUAAGGACCGGCUAAUUACGUGCCAGCAUCCGCGGUAAUACGUAAGGUCCGAGCGUUGUCCGGAAUCAUUUGGCGUAAAGGGUACGUAGGCGGAUAAGCAAGUUAGAAGUGAAAUCCUAUAGCUCAACUAUAGUAAGCUUUUAAAACUGCUCAUCUUGAGGUAUGGAAGGGAAAGUGGAAUUCCUAGUGUAGCGGUGAAAUGAGCAGAUAUUAGGAGGAAUACCGGUGGCGAAGGCGACUUUCUGGCCAUAAACUGACGCUGAGGUACGAAAGCGUGGGUAGCAAACAGG